rnacentral:rRNA from 1 species
UAUGGAUAUUGGAUCCCCGGGUACCGAGCUCGGAUUCGCUGGCCGUCGUUUUACACCGUCCUGACUGGGAAAACAGAGGCCCGGGCCUUCGGGCUGGGGCGUCGGGGCUGCGAAACCAAUAUGUCAAGUAGAUCCUCUUGGGUCGACGUGGCGUCAUCGCUGUUGAAUACCUUAACAUGGAAUAAUGGGAUAGGACUUGGGUUCUAUUGUGUUGGUUUCUGGGACCGAAGUAAUGAUUGAUAGGGACAGUUGGGGGUGCUGGUAUUCAGCGGCCAGAGGUGAAAUUCUUGGAUUCGCCGAAGACCAACUUAUGCGAAAGCAUUCACCAAGGAUGUCUUCUUUAAUCAAGAACGAAAGUUGGGGGAUCGAAGACGAUCAGAUACCGUCGUAGUCUCAACCAUAAACUAUGCCAACUCGGGAUGGGUGCGCGUUGCUUACCGACCGCGGCCGCACCGUAGGAGAAAUCACAAGUGUUUGGGUUCCGGGGGGAGUAUGGUCGCAAGGCUGAAACUUAAAGGAAUUGACGGAAGGGCACCAUCAGGCGUGGAACUUGCGGCUUAAUUUGACUCAACACGGGAAAACUUACCAGGUCCGGACAUAGUAAGGAUUGACAGAUUGAAGAUCUUUCUUUGAUUCUAUGGGUGGUGGUGCAUGGCCGUUUCUUAGUUGGUGGAGUGAUUUUGUCUGGUUUAAUUCCGUUAACGGAACGAGACCUCGACCUGCUAAAUAAGCUCGGUCCGCCCUCCGGGGCGGGGCGCCGCGGCUUCUUAGAGGGACUUUCGGUGCGUAGCCGAAGGAAGUUCGAGGCAAUAACAGGUCUGUGAUGCCCUUAGAUGUUAUGGGCCGCACGCGUGUUACACUGACGCAUGCAUCGAGCUCAUUCGCCUCGGCCGACAGGCCCGGGGAAUCUGCGCAAAGUGCGCCGUGAUGGGGAUAGAUGAUUGUACUUAUUCAUCUUCGCGACAAACCCCCAGGACGACCCGGGAAGCAGCACGCGUCACAUUGAUAUCCCAGCCCCGGACCCCGAGCUCGAAGCCCCGGGCCUUGAAUCCCAGUCACGACGUUUGAAAUCGCCGGCCAGCGAAUGGGAGCUCGGGCACCGCGGCU